rnacentral:lncRNA from 1 species
CACAGUGCUCUAAAGCUUUGAUGAACCCCAUGUUGAACAUAUCCUUAACUGCAGCGUCUCACAUGAAAGUUUUUCUAGCAUUGGUAUAAUAAAACCAAAGCACAAAGAUGACCAAAGUACAAAGAAAUGACCAACCCAUGGUGUCACAGCUUGUAGAAUCACAGUCUGACCUACACCCAGAUCUUUUAAACCCUAAGACUCUGCUACAGGCUCCCAAGGCACAGACUGGGAUGCCUUGGGUGCCUGUGCCAGAGCACAGACUGAAGUGUCAGAUGCCUUAUAAGAGUGAGUGUGGGUGGAAAACCUUUUGGCUUAAAAGUAAUGGCAAAAACCGCAAUUACUUUUGCACCAACCUAAUAGAAAGCAGACUGGUGGUUGCCAGGAGCUGGAAAGGGGGAAAUGGGGAGUUACUGCUAAUGAUUAUGGAAUUUCCAUUUGAGUCAUCAAAAAGUUCUGGACCUUGAUAGUGGUGAUGGUUGCACAACACUGCGAAAGCACUUAAUGCCACUGAAUUUUAUACUUUAAAAUGGUUAAAAUGGCAAAUGUUAUGUAUAUUUUAUGACAAUUUAAAAAAGAUGGGAGUGAGGGAGUCGUUGGUCACAGUACACUUCGGGGGAGCAGUGGGGCCAGUACCCCCCAUUCUCCUAAAAGGGAGGUGUCUAAGAUUCUAGCAGUCUUUAAAUUUUUCUGAGUGCUUCAGAGAAAAUCUUACAAAUCAAUCACUGCUAGUUCCCAUAUCCUUUCAUCACAAAUGGUAUAACUGCUACCAAUUUGUCCAACAUGAUGCUGUUUUGGCUUUAUGCCCACUGCCUGGAGGUUCCCAAACCCCACAAUGUAUCACAAUCACCCAAGGAGUUUGUAAAAUGACAUUCCUGGGCCUCGGCCCAGAGACUUGGGUUCAAUGGUCUCUAGAACUUGGGUUCUGGUCCCCAGAGACUUGGGUUCCAAGGUCGGAAAUCUAUAUUUUAUAAAGCUUCCUGGGAAUUGUGAUGCAGCCUGUCCUCAGACAGGUCUUUUGGGAACCACUACCCUGGUCCAUUGAAGUGUGGAAGGCUGUGCAUAAGAUAGGCCCUGGUGGAUAGAUGUGUCUGCAGUUUUCUGUCCUGUGCCCUCCCCCAGCCCCUCUCCAGAGGAGAUUUGGACCAGGACUGAUGCCUUCUCUCCCCAUUCCCUGUGUACCUGGCUCAUCAUUCUAUCAUCUCUCUGGCUCAUAGGGGGCCUCACUAUCGUCAAGAUCUCUUAUGAGGGUUCUCACUCCAAACAUAGUGUCCCUUACACCAGAGCCCUGGGAAUGGUCUUCAGACCCCACCAAAACCAGUCCGGGGCGGGCAGCCUUGGUUGGAUGUCAUCCAACUGCACCACCCCCACCUUUGCCCAAUCAGGCCAGAGAUCUCCACAGCACAUUCUCCACUUUGUGAUCAUGUACUUUAAAAAUAUAUAUUCCAUAAAGAAUAUAUAAUUGUUAUUAAAAAGUAGAAAA